rnacentral:rRNA from 1 species
AUUGAACGCUGGCGGCAGGCUUGACACAUGCAAGUCGAGCGGGGUGAUGGUGCUUGCACUAUCACUUAGCGGCGGACGGGUGAGUAAUGCUUAGGAAUCUGCCUAUUAGUGGGGGACAACAUCUCGAAAGGGAUGCUAAUACCGCAUACGUCCUACGGGAGAAAGCAGGGGAUCACUUGUGACCUUGCGCUAAUAGAUGAGCCUAAGUCGGAUUAGCUAGUUGGUGGGGUAAAGGCCUACCAAGGCGACGAUCUGUAGCGGGUCUGAGAGGAUGAACCGCCACUAUGGGAAUGAGACACGGCCCAGACUCCUACGGGAGGCAGCAGUGGGGAAUAUUGGACAAUGGGGGGAACCCUGAUCCAGCCAUGCCGCGUGUGUGAAGAAGGCCUUAUGGUUGUAAAGCACUUUAAGCGAGGAGGAGGCUCUUUUGGUUAAUACCCAAGAUGAGUGGACGUUACUCGCAGAAUAAGCACCGGCUAACUCUGUGCCAGCAGCCGCAGUAA